rnacentral:rRNA from 1 species
UACGUAGGGUGCAAGCGUUGUCCGGAAUUAUUGGGCGUAAAGAGCUCGUAGGCGGUUUGUCACGUCUGCUGUGAAAACUCGGGGCUUAACUCCGGGCCUGCAGUGGGUACGGGCAGACUAGAGUGCGGUAGGGGAGACUGGAAUUCCUGGUGUAGCGGUGAAAUGCGCAGAUAUCGGGAGGAACACCGGUGGCGAAGGCGGUUCUCUGGGCCUUACCUGACGCUGAGGAGCGAAAGCGUGGGGAGCGAACAGG